CUGGCAGCCCUGGAAACAGAAGUGCUCCGUCGCUCCACAAAACAGAGACAACGCCGAGAGCUGCCGCGCUUGCUUCCGCCACAUUACCUCACUAAUGUGCCUCAGACCUGACCUGGAGGGAUCAGACUGCAAGGAAAUGCAGUCUCCGCAUUCAUCCAGGGGGAGGGCUUCA
rnacentral:sRNA from 1 species